CCAAUAGCGUAUAUUAAAGUUGUUGCAGUUAAAAAGCUCGUAGUUGAAUUUCGGGGUUAGUAAGUUGGUCAUGCCUUUGGUAUGCACUGGCUUUACUGAUUCCUCCUUCUUGACGAACCGUGAUGUCAUUAAUUUGGUGUUGCGGGAAAUCAGGACUGUUACUUUGAAAAAAUUAGAGUGUUUAAAGCAGGCUAACGCUUGAAUACAUUAGCAUGGAAUAAUGAAAUAGGACGUUAAUCCUAUUUUGUUGGUUUCUAGGAUCGACGUAAUGAUUAAUAGGGAUAGUUGGGGGCAUUAGUAUUCAAUUGUCAGAGGUGAAAUUCUUGGAUUUAUUGAAGACUAACUACUGCGAAAGCAUUUGCCAAGGAUGUUUUCAUUAAUCAAGAGCGAAAGUUAGGGGAUCGAAGACGAUCAGAUACCGUCGUAGUCUUAACCAUAAACUAUGCCGACUAGGGAUCGGAUGAUGUUAAUUCUUUAAUGACUCAUUCGGCGCCUUACG
rnacentral:rRNA from 1 species